UAGGGAAUCUUCCGCAAUGGACGCAAGUCUGACGGAGCAACGCCGCGUGAGUGAAGAAGGAUUUCGGUUCGUAAAACUCUGUUGUUAGAGAAGAACAGCGCAUAGAGUAACUGUUAUGCGUGUGACGGUAUCUAACCAGAAAGCCACGGCUAACUACGUGCCAGCAGCCGCGGUAAUACGUAGGUGGCAAGCGUUGUCCGGAUUUAUUGGGCGUAAAGCGAGCGCAGGCGGUCAAUUAAGUCUGAUGUGAAAGCCCCCGGCUCAACCGGGGAGGGUCAUUGGAAACUGGUUGAAUUGAGUGCAGAAAGGGUGGGUGGAAUUCGAUGGGUAGCGGUGAAAUGCGUAGAUAUAUGGAGGAACACCAGUGGCGAAGGCGACUCUCUGGUCUGUAACUGACGCUGAGGCUCGAAAGCGUGGGUAGCAAACAGG
rnacentral:rRNA from 1 species